UGAAAUAACAAAAAAUAAGAAAAUUAAACGAAAUUUCCAAGGUGCCAUCAUUCAAAAAAUUUAUAACUUUUUUGUGUCGUAUUUACAAAUCUGGCAACAGAUGAAAACGAUGCCUUAGGAGUUCAGUAAUAGUAAUAUGAAAAUAAUAUAAUAAUUGCAUGAGUCCAAAAAUAAAUAAAAGUAAUACGACAGAACAUAACUAACAACCCUCGUAUAAAUAGAAGUAUCGUUAAUCUUUUCGGAACCAGUUAAUUCUACUCUAUCGGACCUGCCACGGUAUGAGGUCACCAGUUUCCCGUUCCUUCUUCAAAUGCCACACUGCCUUCCAGUACAGUUUGGGCGGGACCUUCGGGCAUGCUUCCUCCAGCUUGUCCAGUAGAAAUCCAAUAUGGACUCCAGUCGUCACAAUAACCGUGGUCACCAUCUCCAGGGUUAGCGCUUCGUGGCCAGAAGCGCCAACAGUAUAUUUCCCAGGCUCCGCCUCCGGGUUUUGUGCUUCCAUUAGUUCCCGCACUGAUACUUGCUUCAGAACCAGCUUCGCACACACACGGCUCCACUCGGAACGCCACUGCAGUCGCACCGGAUCGGAGUAAUCGAGUAGACUGCGCGCCGACAUCCCAAGCCGGCAAACAAUGAUGACCGGCACUUUGACCUUUUUAGCCGUCAGCAUUUCGAGAAUGCGGUUGGAGAUAGUAGCACUGAGUUCCAGCAUCGGCAUACGCGGCGGCAGGUCAACUGUGUGAAAAUGUCGAGGAAGGAAAACGCUUCGGUGAGGAUUUCUACAGGAACCAGGCCGAUGCGCAUCGGCUGGAGGCUGUCCGGUUCUUCCGCGUUUUUCAUCUAAUAACGUUAUUGCAAUUUUAAAUGGGCGUCUGACUUGUGCGAGGUAAAAUAAAAAUUUUAUGCUAGAAGAAACCGCUUAUUUUUACCGAAAUAGCUUGCCGGGGCGUCGAAAUGGGAGCGAGAUUUAACAAGACGUCUUUGUCGAAACACGGGUUCGUCCCCGCCUCUUGAUAAUGAUCAGCCAAAGAAAUCUCUACCAUUCUGAGAACAGCCGCCUAAAAAGAGAAGCUCAUCGCUCCAUCUGGCAAUGUCAACAAUAUGCUUGAAGUACGUGUUAGAGCAUGUCCAUUCCUGCUGCGCACUUUCCAGCGGCAUGACCUUUUCCCAUCGCACCACAUCUCGCGCAACCUGCCCGUCGAGCUCAAUCUCCACAAACGCAUACUGCAAUGCGGCAUUGCCGGCAAGAAGUGUGGAAGGAUACCAUCUCCACGGCUGGUUCGGUGCGGGUUGUAGCAGUGUCCGUACGCGAUCGCCAACCACAGCGGGAGGAUGAACAGGCUGGUCGCGGCACCGUGCCAUGCUGACCGUUUCCGCACGAUGGUUCGCACAACCGAAAUCAAUGGUGAACCGGCCACCGACAGGAUCGACGUCGCAGAUCAUUCCGUGCCUGAUCGAUUUAUCAUCGUUGUCGCGCACCGCGACCGCACCGAAGCGCCAAACAUCCACCCGAAACAUUUUGAGAUCUCCUUAGUUGUAUUUUGUGUCGAGCAAGUAAGUAGUAAGUACUUAAUAGAUUACAGGUUUUCAACAAAGAAAACUUUAAAACGAUGAAAAGAGUAAUAUAAUUUCAAAACCACAUAUAGUACAUACACACAAAACCUAAUGCUGCCGGGGCAAAAGAUUGUCACCGCGCUU